CAGCCAUGCCGCGUGUGUGAAGAAGGCCUUCGGGUUGUAAAGCACUUUUGUCCGGAAAGAAAAGCCUUGGGUUAAUACCCUGAGGUCAUGACGGUACCGGAAGAAUAAGCACCGGCUAACUUCGUGCCAGCAGCCGCGGUAAUACGAAGGGUGCAAGCGUUACUCGGAAUUACUGGGCGUAAAGCGUGCGUAGGUGGUUUGUUAAGUCUGAUGUGAAAGCCCUGGGCUCAACCUGGGAAUGGCAUUGGAAACUGGCUGACUAGAGUGCGGUAGAGGGUAGUGGAAUUCCCGGUGUAGCAGUGAAAUGCGUAGAUAUCGGGAGGAACAUCUGUGGCGAAGGCGACUACCUGGACCAGCACUGACACUGAGGCACGAAAGCGUGGGGAGCAAACA
rnacentral:rRNA from 1 species